CUUCAUUUUGUAGAGGGUUCUUCUGCCGUCCCGCAUGCGCCCAAUGUUGUCGAGAAGAACGGGGACCCGUCCUCCUCCGCAUCCACUCCACCCCUCUCCAGCCGACGGCGAUAUCCGGAGGGAAGGGCCCUGAAUGCCGGAGCGUGGAAUCGGGCUGUGGGGCCGCGUGCGAGGAAGGCCACCGCCAGCCGAGACCUCCCGCUCUCGUGCAGUCUCCAAUGAGGUAUCGCUCCACCGACGAGCUCGCGGUGGUCCGGAUCUCCCGAGUCUCUGCGCCGAGCGAAGAGGCAGUCCGUCCUCGAUAAAAGAAAUUCCUGAGCAAGCCCCACGCCCGCGGUGCAUCACACAAAGAAUCCCAUGGCCUUUUCUCUUCCGGCGCCAAAUACCCCAAUCCCCAGCCGCGACGGCGAAUCCUUGCUCGACGCGGCGAUGCAGGUACGGCCUCCCUCCCUCCGUUCGUCCUCCUCCUCCGAACAACCGGUGACCAUCCCAUAUCUCCCUCGCGCCCCAUCCCCACCUCACCAGUCUCGCCCCAUCUCAUCUCUGAUCCGGAGGAAAUUGGCCGGAGUUAUUGGGUGGAGAAGCAAGACCACGUCGGACCGAGGGAGACUGUAGGCAUAGUACUACAUGAGGAUGAACAUACGAGGCUGUCGCGGAUCCGACGAGUUAAAUGUCGUAUGUCAUACAGUUAACCCAGCCUAAUGUUGUAUGUACAUAGACUUAGAGGAGAAAUCUGGUCAGGAAACAUGUAUGGGCCGUGGUAGGAUUUUUUAUUUGAGCUGAAAGGGUCACUUGCUACAUUAGCUUUUACUCAACACUAUUGGCGCAUCUUGCUUCAUUUGAGAAUAUGUAGUGGGUUUAAUAAAUUUGCCAGUGAUUUGGUGAUUUACUUACUGAGGUAUUUUUUGAAUCCUACGCUGACUUUCCUACUAGCUAAUAGUAGAUGGUGUAUGUGUAGAUACAUAAUAUACUUAGCACAUAUAUUUUUAUCAUACAUAUUGUCACCAUACUAUUGUUUCUGCCAUACUAACAAUUUAGUCUGUCCACCGCCACUGAAUUAAACCUUUCUUCUGGAGUUCAUAGUUUUUUAAAUCUUGGUUAAAUAAGCUUACAAGUUGAGAUUCACCAAUCGGUUCCCUCCUUUUGUGUGCAUAGUCUGGCAAGAUAAGCAAAUCCAUAGAUUCCCAGAAACCCUCAACUUAUAUUCUUACAUGAGCACAAGUGAGCACAAUUCUCCUAUUUACAGCCUAUAUGGAGUGGUUGUCCAUCAUGAUGUUAUUGAUGCUGCCUUUUCUGGGCAUUAUGUUUGUUAUGUCAAGGACACACAUGGGAAGUAGUACAAACCUAUCUCACUAAUGACAUGGUGAACUUUUAUUGCAGGGACAAAGUGUCGACCGUCUCUAAUGCGUGUUGCUUUUGUUAAUUAGUGCAGACGUGCCAGUGUCAUGGUGAGAAGCCAGAAUCAACCCGACCUUAUCUGGAAAUUUCUUGUAUUUCUUGAAGCCAAAAGUCGCAAAGGAGCCUUUUCCGAAAUAGCUGGAGCAAAUUCCAUUAUUCUGCUGACAAGGUAGAUGAUGGAGAAGAGAGGCUACAACAAGGUGCUCAUGUUUGUCACAAGGAUCAAAGUGUCGCUAAAUCAAGGAUGGUGACCUGCUGCUGCUCUCUCCGGAUGGCAGCAGUGAUACCUGGGACGGGCUGCUGCUGAGUGACCUGCUGCUGCUCUGCGGGAGGAGACAGCGCUGGAGAGGGCCCUCCACGACGGCAACCAGGGCGAUGCCUCCUCCCUCCGAUCCCAGGAAAUUGAACAAGGGAUACCCUGAUCUCGUCCAUGGAGCUCUCUCUGCAGGGUCGGCCUCCCCGAUAUGCUGAUGCCGGCGUCUUCCGGGAGAAGGAUGAUCGAGGAGCUGGCGCGGUUCCUCGGAAACAACCAUGGCUUGGAUGGGCUCCUGCUGAUUUGCGAUAAGAAGCAUCCACAUGCAAUCAGGUCUAUGUCUUGCUGAUUCAUCUUGUGCUUAAUUUUUUUCAACAGGCUCAACUGUAGGCAUAUGCAUCUACAUGUCCACAUCAAGCGCAAUAGAGAUUCAUCAACACUUGUGCACUGCACUGUGGUAGUGUGGUGUAUUGCUUAAUAGUUCUAUUAACUGCUAUGGAAAGGGAAAUUUGACUCUAUAGGCAGCAACGUGCAAUGACACUAAAACAUUGUAGAUAAGUCGAGCAAAAUUUGCUUGCUUGCUUGCUUAUGCAAUGUAAUUGUUCUAGAUACUAUCAAAAUCUGAGUUGAUUUUGAAAAAGCAACUUUCAUGAUCUUGAAGAAGCAACUUUCAUAUUCA